rnacentral:lncRNA from 1 species
UUUUAAUAGAAACAGUUUGAAAAGUUGCUGUGGCUCAUCGCCAUUGAUUCUCCAGCAUUUUAUCGAUGAUUGGCGUACCCAAUACUGAGUCGCUGACUUGUGCCAUUGAGCUAUUGAGUCAAUGUUGCAAUGGGUCUAGUGAUUCUUCCCUUUUUUUCGAUACUUACUCUUCCUUUAUCUGGUGUCUCUUCUCCUUUUGCUCUCAGAUUUGUGCUUUCUUCAACAUAUAUACUUUUUUUUCAUCUCAGAUCUGACGUUUUUAUCUAAGAUCGAAGCCUGCUUUGCACCAGUACUCAUGUUUGUGUUUCAGAUCUGAGCCCGCUUUGCUUUGAUGGGUUGUCUGAGCUGGAAUCCUUCACUUCCUUUUCUUAGGCCCCUUGCUCCUUACUUAC